ACUUUUUGCAAUAUUGCUCCAGGCCCUUGAUUGAUUUAUUAAUCUUAACAUAACAAAGAGAAAAUCUGCUUAAUCAGGCACAUUUUAGAAAGAGUUGUUUGCAAUUAUGGAUCACUUUCAUUCCCUGAGGUAAACUACGGCUGCUCAGCUGAUAUACACAGUACUAUGCAAAAUUUUUAGGUUUGUCGAUUUAGUAAAGUUAUAAUAACCACACAUAAGCAUUUCUCAGUCUUUGUGUUAAAGUAUAAUGUGGAUAAAUUAGGAAUAUGUACAAAAAUAAAAACAGAGGCUUCUAUAAAUCAUAGAGGUAGUAUUUAGUCUGACCUCCCUCUGUAAUUUACAUGUCCUUAACCCUUUUGUUCACACAGUACGAGAUUUAUUGCAUUCAUUUUCUGAUGUUAUUAGCAGGUUUCAUUCAACAUGUCAGAUGUUUCUGUUUGUGCCGCUUGUCAUAGGGUCAGGAGUCAGAAUAUAUAAGGAUUUUAAUCUUAAUAGAAGA